GACGUAGGGCGCGAGCGUUGUCCGGAUUUAUUGGGCGUAAAGAGCUCGUAGGCGGCUUGUCGCGUCAACUGUGAAAACCCGUGGCUCAACCAUGUGGUCUGCAGUCGAUACGGGCAGGCUAGAAUUCGGUAGGGGAGACUGGAAUUCCUGGUGUAGCGGUGAAAUGCGCAGAUAUCAGGAGGAACACCGCUGGCGCAGGCGGGUCUCUGGGCCGAUAUUGACGCUGAGGAGCGAAAGCGUGGGGAGCGAACAGG
rnacentral:rRNA from 1 species